rnacentral:rRNA from 1 species
AGUGAACGCUGGCGGUAGGCUUAACACAUGCAAGUCGAACGGCAGCACAGUAAGAGCUUGCUCUUACGGGUGGCGAGUGGCGGACGGGUGAGGAAUACAUCGGAAUCUACUUUUUCGUGGGGGAUAACGAAGGGAAACUUACGCUAAUACCGCAUACGACCUACGGGUGAAAGCAGGGGAUCUUCGGACCUUGCGCGAUUGAAUGAGCCGAUGUCGGAUUAGCUAGUUGGCGGGGUAAAGGCCCACCAAGGCGACGAUCCGUAGCUGGUCUGAGAGGAUGAUCAGCCACACUGGAACUGAGACACGGUCCAGACUCCUACGGGAGGCAGCAGUGGGGAAUAUUGGACAAUGGGCGCAAGCCUGAUCCAGCCAUACCGCGUGGGUGAAGAAGGCCUUCGGGUUGUAAAGCCCUUUUGUUGGGAAAGAAAAGCAGCAGGUUAAUACCCCGCUGUUCUGACGGUACCCAAAGAAUAAGCACCGGCUAACUUCGUG